AGAGAAAGAAAAGAAGAAGAAUGGGUUGGGCUCGGCCCAGCCGACCCAACACUCCCUUAUAACCCAAACUUCCAAAAUUCAACACCCCGAAAAAUAAUACCCGAAUAAAAAUUACCUUUUACUAGCUAAAAUUUACUAUUUUUACCGUCGUCGUAUUUUCUUCAUACUAAUAAUCCUCCGCACAUAAUCGUCCCCGAAACCCCUCUAGGGACCAAUUAAACUAUUUACUCAAUGACGGAGACGGUAAAAUUCUUAUUAUAAUCACGCUAGUAAAUAAGGUAAAAAUAUAAGGGUCGGGAUGUGACAGAUAUGGUGAAUUAUGCCUUUGCGUGUUCAUUCCGGAUUUACAUGGACUCUUGAUGGAUCAAAAGAUGCCAAUAUGUAUCAACAUCCGAAGAAAAAUAUCUUGGGAAGACACGGUCUCGAUAAGGCACUCGAUGACUGUAUUGAUGAUGAUUUUCCAUCAAUCGGCUUAGGCACUUUAUAACUAGUGAGGCCUAUAUAUACUCCCAUGAUUAGUCAAGGUCUUUACUCUAAAGAGAGAUCUGUUGUUUUGUCUAAAGCAAGAUGACAAAUAUGUGUUAAGAGAUGGAGUUCCCAUCUAAGUAUAAUAAGACGCAUCAAUGUACUCAAC
rnacentral:lncRNA from 1 species